CUGGGAUGGAAUAACUGUGGUGAUGAAGUGGCAGUGGAGCUGGCCAGAGUUAUGCCUCUGUGUCAGAGGCUGACCAGAAUAGAUCUGGAGUCAAACACCGUGAGUGUUUUCGGAGUGGAGGCCCUGUGUAGAGCCUUACAGUCGUGUCCUUCUGUCCAGCUCAUCAGGCUGUGGAGGAACAAAGUCUCCUCCAGUGAAGCUCAGAGUCUCAGUGUGACGGACAGGAGGCUGAAUUUCUCAUCUACCUGAUACGAUGUGUGUCACUUGACGGUGGCGGGGAGAAAUAACAAUCCAGUCCUCCAGAAUCUGCAGAGGUGAAUCACUUCUACAGCUACAGACACACAUGGCAUUCAGGUGUGUUUUCUCUGCAGUAUGGUCAUCAGAAAAGCAUGAAGAAUUAUAUUUAAUUAAUAAUUAAUAUUUUAAUUUAAUUAGUUGUGUGUUCGAUUACUGCUGCAGCUGGCGUCUAAUAGUAUGAGGAGUUUAAAAGCCACUAUGUGGUCUACUAUUUUUUAUAUGUACUGUAUAUAUUGAGUUCUCAUCCCUAAAACAUCUUGGUGUUAAUAAUUUUAGGGCCUCUGCAGGGAGCAUUGUGAUUAUUGCACUAUUAGAUGUUUUUAAGGGUCUUGAGAAAAGCAAAAAUGAAUGCACUUAUUGGCCUCUAGUUUCAAAAUGGUAAACUGAUGUAAUCACCUGACAGUGUGGUGAUGGUCACAUUUACAUGCACACUAAAAUUACACAAUUAUUCCAAACACAAUAGUCGUAGUUUGCUGUGGGUCAUGUAAACAACAUAUUAUGUUUAGAUAUUCUGAAAAGAGUGCCCCAGGGAUGAUGUUUUUCUGUAGGCCAACCCACAAGCUGAUGUCGCCCUGGUUCCCUCG